rnacentral:rRNA from 1 species
GACGAACGCUGGCGGCGUGCCUAAUACAUGCAAGUCGAACGCAGUGGGGACGGGUGAGUAACACGUGGGUAACCUCCCAUCAGAGGGGAUAACACUUGGAAACAGGUGCUAAACCGAUACUGAUGGAUGGACCCGCGGUUCAUUAGCUAGUUGGUGAGGUAACGGCUAACCAAGGCACCGAUGAAUAGCCUACCGGAGAGGGCGAUCGGCCAAACUGGGAUUGACAAACGGCCAAGAGUCCUACGGGAGGCAGAAGUAGGGAAUCUUCGGCAAUGGACGAAAGUCUGACCGAGCAACGCCGCGUGAGUGAAGAAGGUUUUCGGAUCGUAAAACUCUGUUGUUAGAGAAGCGGUAUCUAACCAGAAAGCCACGGCUAACUACGUGCCAGCCGCCGCGGUAAUAC